rnacentral:rRNA from 1 species
GUGGCGAACGGGUGCAUAACGCGUAGGAAUCUACCCUUGGGUGAAGGAUACCCUAGAGAAAUUUAGGCUAAUACUGCAUAAGCCGGGAAACCGGGAAAGGUGGCCUCUUGCUACCGCACAAGGAUGAGCCUGCGUACUAUUAGUUAGUUGGUGAGGUAAAGGCUCACCAAGACGAAGAUGGUUAGCUGGCCUGAGAGGGUGUACAGCCACAAUGGGACUGAGAUACGGCCCAUACUCCUACGGGAGGCAGCAGUGGGGAAUAUUGCACAAUGGGCGAAAGCCUGAUGCAGCGACGCCGCGUGGAGGAUGACGGUUUUCGGAUUGUAAACUCCUGUUAAGUGGGAAGAAAGAACACGGAUUAAUACCCUGUGGAGAUGACGGUACCACUAGAGAAAGCACCGGCUAACUUCGUGCCAGCAGCCGCGGUAAUACGAGGGGUGCAAGCGUUAUUCGGAAUAACUGGGCGUAAAGAGCGCGUAGGCGGCUUGUUAAGUCUGUUGUUAAAUUACCCAGCUUAACUGGGAAGAGGCAAUAGAAACUGGCAAACUAGAGGACAAGAGAGAGAAGUGGAAUUCUCGGAGUAGCGGUAAAAUGCGUAGAUCUCGAGAGGAACACCGAUGGCGAAGGCAGCUUCUUGGCUUGUAUCUGACGCUCAAGUGCGAAAGCGUGGGGAGCAAACAGGAUUAGAUACCCUGGUAGUCCAC